rnacentral:lncRNA from 1 species
UUGCGGAUUUACUAAUUUUUUUUGCAAGAAAAAUUGUGAUUUGGUUAUAAAAAACUAAUUUGUGCCGUGUAAAAAUAUUGUAGUGCUAUUUUAGAUGAUAUUUCGCUAAUAAGAUCGGGACAAGUCGAUCCUGUUGUCUUCCCGGAAGAAUUUAAGGAAUUUCCAUAAAAAAAAGGCUCCAAGAGUGCCUGGAAAACAACAAGAAAAAUCUGUAUAAACUCCGGACAAUAUAUUGAGAUUUUCUUCCAAUGGCGAAAAAUCCUGAAUUCUCUUCAAGGAAUAAACCCACCACAGAGGAAUUUCGGCGUGCUGCUUCCUCUCCAGACAAGGAUUGAUUAUCGACACUACAUUUUCUUAAUGAGAGUCUAAACCUUGUUUUAGCCGGGAAUUAUACCACGUUCUGUUUCUUGCAGGAGACACUGGCUAGUUUUUCUAUUUUGUUCUAGUGUGAAAAGU